rnacentral:rRNA from 1 species
UACGUAGGGACCAAGCGUUGUUCGGAUUUACUGGGCGUAAAGGGCGCGUAGGCGGCCUUCUAAGUCGGACGUGAAAUCCCCAGGCUUAACUUGGGAACUGCGUCCGAUACUGGAGGGCUUGAGUGCGGGAGAGGGAUGUGGAAUUCCAGGUGUAGCGGUGAAAUGCGUAGAUAUCUGGAGGAACACCGGUGGCGAAGGCGGCAUCCUGGACCGACACUGACGCUGAUGCGCGAAAGCCAGGGGAGCAAACGGG